AUGCUAGCUUCGGCAGCACAUAUACUGAAAUUGGAACGAUACAGAAAAGAUUAGCAUGGCCCCUGCGCAAGGAUGGCAUGUAAAUUCAUGAAGCGUUCCAUAUUUUU
rnacentral:snRNA from 1 species